UAGUAGGGAUGAUUAAAAUUAAGGCCUUUUUCUCAAAACAUUCGCAGUUACGUUUUAAGAGCUUUUGCCCAGCCAUUUUUGAGAGCUAAUGCUAUCAGAUCCUUCCUUGGAUGUCUUGGGGCA
rnacentral:snoRNA from 1 species